AAUAAGAUUGCUCUCUGCAGACUUAUUUUUCCGAUUCCCUCUCAGCGCUGUUUCUACAAAGGCUUGUGCUGAUGCCACUGGAACUUUCAUAGCCAGCCUGCUUUUCCCCAUCCAAAGUGCAAGCAAGGCUGAAAAUGGAGAGCUAUUAAAAGCCCAAAAGUUCCAAAUCCAGGUGGAGAGUGGUGUGUCAGCUGCUGGGGAGGAAGGACGUUUGAGCCCAAAAGGAGAAGAGUGCAUGGACUGGAACAAACUUCUCUGGCUUCAGGAAAACACACAGGAAGGAAAGAAACCAACCUGGCUCAGCAGUAAAACCCAGGAAAUUACAGAUUUUUGGGCUGGCAAUGCUGAGGAAUGCACAGCAGGUUGUGUAAAACUGUUGAAAAUCAGCUUGUCCUGCAGAACAGGUUUUCCAUAGGAUUUGAACAAAGCAGAUGGAUGUGGUCAGUGGGAGCUGUGAGGGUGGAAGAUGAAGCACGGAGAAUCAGGAAAGCCACUGGAAUCUUUCUCAGCUUUCAUAUUUAUUUCCUGAAAUACCUGUCCCCGGUGUGUGUCCUACACUGCUCUCAGGGGGAUGGGUUGGGUGGCCUUGGAAAGCAGAACGAUCCUAAUCGUUCCUAAUUUCAUCCCACAUCUUGGUCCUGAGGACUUCUGUGGAAGUCUUUUAGGAAAUGUGGAGCUCAAAUGUGGUCAUUUGGUGAUGGUCAGACCUUACAGUGGACAGGGGUGACCUUAUGGACUUUGUGCUUCUCCCAAGGCAAGAACUCUCCAUCCGUUCAAGUCAAACUUGCUCAGGAUAGAAAAAUCUCUCUGAGAUUUGUCUAUAAAAAACUGAGCAAUCAAUUCAUUCAAUCACAUCAUAGAAAAUAAGAAGUUUCUGGUAGUAUGAGAACACUUUGAUUAGCUGUAAAAUCAGCAAAGAAAAACAACUACCUUAAUAGUCACAAAAUCUAUGGAGGUUUAUUUUUGCUGUGAGCACUUCAAUUUUCUGCAAAAGCCACAAGCAAACAAGACUUUUGAACCAUUUCAAUCCACUCUAAGUCAGAAAGCUCAGUC